UGGGGAAUUUUGGACAAUGGGCGAAAGCCUGAUCCAGCAAUGCCGCGUGUGUGAAGAAGGCCUUCGGGUUGUAAAGCACUUUUGUCCGGAAAGAAAUCCUUGGCUCUAAUACAGUCGGGGGAUGACGGUACCGGAAGAAUAAGCACCGGCUAACUACGUGCCAGCAGCCGCGGUAAUACGUAGGGUGCAAGCGUUAAUCGGAAUUACUGGGCGUAAAGCGUGCGCAGGCGGUUUGCUAAGACCGAUGUGAAAUCCCCGGGCUCAACCUGGGAACUGCAUUGGUGACUGGCGGGCUAGAGUAUGGCAGAGGGGGGUAGAAUUCCACGUGUAGCAGUGAAAUGCGUAGAGAUGUGGAGGAAUACCGAUGGCGAAGGCAGCCCCCUGGGCCAAUACUGACGCUCAUGCACGAAAGCGUGGGGAGCAAACAGGAUUAGAUACCCUGGUAGUCCACGCCCUAAACGAUGUCAACUAGUUGUUGGGGAUUCAUUUCCUUAGUAACGUAGCUAACGCGUGAAGUUGACCGCCUGGGGAGUACGGUCGCAAGAUUAAAACUUAAAUGAAUUGACGGGGUCAUAGCUGUUUCCUG
rnacentral:rRNA from 1 species